GACCUCAGAUCAGACGAGACGACCCGCUGAAUUUAAGCAUAUAAAUAAGCGGAGGAAAAGAAACCAACAGGGAUUCCCUUAGUAGCGGCGAGCGAACCGGGAUGAGCCCAGCGCCGAAUUCCGCACUCUUUGGGUGUUGGAAAAUGUGGCGUAUAGGAGUGAGCGUUCCGGAGUUUGACUCUGCAGCAAGUCCCCCUGACCGGGGCUGUUACCCAGAGUGGGUGCGAGGCCCAUAGCUGCUAGGUCUGCUUCGGAUGCGAUCUCCUGGGAGUCGGGUUGCUUGGGAGUGCAACCCUAAUCGGGUGGUAAACUCCACCUAAGGCUAAAUACUGCCGUGAGACCGAUAGCAAACAAGUACCGUGAGGGAAAGUUGCAAAGAACUUUGAAGAGAGAGUUCAAGAGUACGUGAAACUGCUCAGAGGUAAACGGGUGGGCCCUCGAAAUCCUGUGGCGGGAGGAUUCAGUUGGGUUUCUGUGGCAGCACUGGCCGAUUGACCAAAACGGAUCCCAGAACUGGGCCGGGUCGGCUGUGCAGGUCACGGUUCUCGACGCAUUUUUUCCCGCUCUGAGGACGCCGUAGCCGGUUGGGAAGACUCGACGGACUAAAGGACUUACGCUGGCAGGUGGCCGGUGGCGUGGCUUCGGCUGUGUCGUCGGUUGUUAGCCUGUUCGUCCGGUCUCGUCGCCCGACCGAGGUUUUUGUGGCCCGAAUGGACCCGAUUUUAUGUCCGCCUCCUCCCUUUAGCAGGAGAGCCGGGAUUAGAACGCAGCAAGCGUUCGUAGGUGGUGCGGCCGCACUCUCUGACUGAGUGGACCAGUGCCAUCGCGACGUUGGUGAGCUACGUCGUGCCCGUGGGAGUGCUGGCGGCUAGCGGCGAGUAGAUCGGUCACCCACCCGACCCGUCUUGAAACACGGACCAAGGAGUCUAACAUGUGCGCGAGUCAAUGGGUCUUGAUUAGGCCCAGAGGCGCAAUGAAAGCAAAGGGCGGCAGAACGCCGUCUGAGUUGGGAUCCUGGGGCUUCCGCGUCCAAGGAGCACCAACGACCCGUCCUGUCCGAUUUAUCUCGGUUGGGCGGAGUAUGAGCGUACACGUUGGGACCCGAAAGAUGGUGAACUAUGCCCGGGCAGGACGAGGCCAGAGGAAACUCUGGUGGAGGUCCGUAGCGGUUCUGACGUGCAAAUCGAUCGUCAGAUCCGGGCCUAGGGGCGAAAGACUAAUCGAACCAUCUAGUAGCUGGUUCCCUCCGAAGUUUCCCUCAGGAUAGCUGGCGCUCGAGAUUCAGUCUCAUCCGGUAAAGCGAAUGAUUAGAGGCCUUGGGGCCGAAACGACCUCAACCUAUUCUCAAACUUUAAAUGGGUGAGAAGUCUGGCUUGCAUGACUGAAGCCCGGACAAGUGAGUGAGUGCCCAGUGGGCCACUUAUGGUAAGCAGAACUGGCGCUGUGGGAUGAACCAAACGCUGGGUUACGGCGCCCGAUGCGAGACGCUCAUGAGACCCCAUGAAAGGUGUUGGUUGCUCUAGACAGGUGACAGGUGACUGCAACCCCUGGACACCCGCACGACUUUGCUAAGGACUACUCGGGUAUAGUCCAGGACCCGCAACUAUCUAGAACAACACCCCCUGGGCGACACUAACGUCCCCCACAGGGCGCCGAAACCCAACCCCUGGAUCAAACCCCUGUAGUCGUGCCCACCAAUGUGGGUGAUACUUUCCCACUUGGUGCACUGUCAUCCUAGAUCGCCCAGGCCCCAGUAUUUAUUGAUUGACAUCAAACAGAUACAUGGCCAUACAAGGGCUCUCCAUUUCACAUGGUACCGAGAACACAUUAAUAAAUAUUAAAUGAAUACUGU
rnacentral:ncRNA from 1 species